rnacentral:tRNA from 1 species
AGAGAUGUAGUUCAGUGAUACAGCACUUGCCUAGUAUGCAUGAGGCCCUGGGUUUGAUUCCCAGCACCACAG